rnacentral:misc_RNA from 1 species
CCAGUUCUAUUAGCAGUUGUAUCCUCAACAAAACUAAUUCCAUUUGAAGCAAAAGCAGUGCUAACCGGCUCAGUCGACAAGAAAGCUGUAAGCUUAGAAAACCUCAAACUAGCCCUCCUAACAUACCCAAAAACCAAAUUCAAAAAAGCAGUUAACCCACCACCGCAAGAACUCUCAACAACAAUAAGAAGCCCCAGCUCGAAUUGUUCCCCUUGCUUCCUUCGCUGCCUUCGCGAAAACUGAAUCCCAUACAUUUUACUCUCCGAAGUGUUCUGACUUUCUACACCCAUUUUCUUUCUUUUUCUACUAUAAACCACCCCAAACAUCUUUUUCUCAGUAUCUUUCAAAUUCCCAUGAUUCACUCUCUUGGGCGUUCGAGUAUCAACUGCAGGCGCUUCUUGCUUCAAUUUAGAAUCAUGGGUCCAUCCUUGUUCUUUGUACUUGAAAGAACUAUGGUUAUGGUAAUUCCUGUUAGUGGCGGUGGAUUUAAUCAUGGUGUGCAACCACUCGUCCCCAUCGUUGGCUCUCCUGAACCUGGCGUCACCUGAUCCCGGCCAGAAUCGCCGACCAGAGCGCAAAACCCGGGCCCCAUCUACGACC